GGUUGAGCAAUUUAAUAGAGUUUAAAACUUUCUGUACGAGGCUAACUGACAGAAUUUACAACCAUGAUGACUCCACUGGUCCUGUUGUAUUCUCUUAUAUUCUUCAUUCAAGACUCAAGUUGCCAGGUCUCUGUGAAUCAACCAUCAGCACCAAAGUCAGUUUCCCCUGGAGGGAGCGUCACCUUCAGCUGUACCACUGGGAGUGACGUGAGUAGAUACAUGGCCUGGUAUCAGCAGAGACCCGGAGACAAACCUAAACUCCUGAUCUAUAGAGCAAGCAAUCGCGACAGUGACACCCCGAGUCGCUUCAGUGGCAGUGGGUCAGGAACUUCAUACAGUAUGACGAUCAGUGGAGUCCAACCUGAAGACGCCGGCUACUACUACUGCAUGCAGUAUGAUAACUUGCCACACAGUGACUGA